UUACCUGAACUCUCAAUAAGAGGCUGGACAAGAGGUGGAAGAGGGAAGUGGGUUCGUCAGGGAGACGCUGGCUGUGCGCAGAGGAUCAUGGGGCAUCACCGCCGUCAUUACUGUCGUACAGUCAAAUGACUUGCGGGCGGGAACCCAGUUCUGUGCGCCGGUGGGACGAGAGACGCAGCGUCACGUGGCCCCGCUCCCUCCUGCGUGUCCUCGUCGCCCAGUCUCCCCAUCCGGGUGAUUCCCCUGGCUGUACUGGCGGCCCUCGGACACAGAAGGCAGCGGGAGGAGCGCUGCGGUCAGUGGGGUGAGAACAAAUAAGGAGCAGGAGUCAUACUAUGGAUAUUAGAAGACAAUACGGAAAGGGAUAUUGUUCUCUGAUCAGGCUAACUACAGACAUCAUUUCUUCUUAUACCUCUGGAGGAUUCAGAAAAACUCUUUUUCCAUUAUCUCGAUAGAAGAAACCUACAGCUAUUUUUUGUUUCUAAUUUUAUUACAUGAUGAGUCUUACAAGAAAGAAACCGCAUCUGUGCUCUGAGUGUGACAAACGCUUUACAUGCAAAUCACGCCUUAAAACACAUCAGAGGAUUCACACAGGAGAGAAACCGUUUAGUUGCUCUGAAUGCAAGAAGUGUUUUACUGAUAAGCAACAACUUGUUAGACAUCAGAUGUAUCAUACAGGAGAGAAGCCCUAUAAAUGCUCUGAAUGUGGCAAGUGUUUUGCCAGGAAUAAACCACUUGUUAUACAUCAGAGGAUUCACACAGGAGAGAAACCAUAUAAAUGCACUGAAUGCAGCAAGUGUUUUGCCAACAAGCAUCACUUUGAUACUCAUAAGAGAGAUCACACAGGAGAGAAGCCAUUUGAAUGUUGUGAAUGUAGUAAAUGUUUUAAAACUAAGCAACAACUUGGUAAUCAUCAGAGGAGCCACACAGGAGAGAAACCAUAUAAAUGCUCUGAAUGUUACAAGUGUUUUUCCCAAAAGGCAAAUAUCUUCUAUCAUCAGAUGAUUCAUACAGGAGAGAAGCCAUUUAAAUGCUCUCAAUGUAGCAAGAGUUUUAUAAAAAAGUUUCAUCUUGAUAGACAUAAGAUGAGUCACACAGGAGAGAAGCCUUUUAAAUGCUUGGUAUGUAGCAAGCGUUACACAAAAAAGUGUUAUCUUGAUACACAUCAGAAGAAGCACCCAAGAGAAACCAUUCAAAUGCUCGGAAUACAGUAAGAAUACUGCGCUUUACUGAUUGAAUCUGUCAGCGCAGAUAAUUAGCCUUGGAGUAAACGCCUGCUAAUUUAAAUAUACCCCUAAAUGUAUUUAGCAUUAAGAAAGUUAACUUCUAUCACUUCAAUAUGGUUACAAGUGAGGACUUUGUUUUUAUUGAAUGUGACAAUUGUUUUAUGUAAAUUAAGGUUUAAAUCUGGAGAGAAGCAUUUAAAGUUUAUCCCCUAUAGAUAGUAAAGCCGCAUACACACGACAUUGACUGUUCGAUGUGGCCGGAGCCCGACCCCGCCAAUAUAGUCAAUGUUGGGCUGCCUGCACAGUCUAUUUUUCCUUGCAAGACUGAUCCCAUGGGACACACAUUGGCAUCUCAAGGACUAUACACACUGUGCGAUAUGCACUAUAUUUUCUUACGAUUCUGACUUUAUAGUCAACAUAUAAAGAAUAUUGCACCGUGUGUACAUACCGUAAGCUUGCGAGCAGGGCCUUCCUACCUGUUUGACUGUUAUCAAUCGCCCAGUUUUGUUUUAUCACUGUUUCCAACUGUAAAGUGCAAUGGAAUUUGCUUCACUAUAUAAGAAAUUGUUAAUAAAUAAAUUAUCCUCUGCAUUAGUGUCACAUAAUAAACAAUGUGUGUGUAGAUACCCUCAAAA